rnacentral:pre_miRNA from 1 species
CUAGUACUCCCUCCGUCCGGAAAUACUUGUCAUCAAAAUGAAUAAAAGGGGAUGUAUCUAGAUGUAUAUUAGUUCUAGAUACAUCCCUUUUUAUCCAUUUUGAUGACAAGUAUUUUCGGACGGAGGGAGUAUGUG